GACAGAGGUGCCGAGCGUUAGGCGGAAUCACUGGGCUUAAAGCGUGUGUAGGCGGAUCGUUAAGUACCUUGUGAAAUCCCACGGCUUAACCGUGGAACUGCUGGGUAUACUGGCGAUCUUGAGGUGCUCAGGGGCGAGCGGAACAGAUGGUGGAGCGGUGAAAUGCGUAGAUAUCAUCUGGAACGCCUGCGGUGAAAACGGCUCGCUGGGAGCAAUCUGACGCUGAGACACGAAAGCCAGGGGAGCGAACUGGG
rnacentral:rRNA from 1 species